CCUACGGGAGGCAGCAGUGAGGAAUAUUGGUCAAUGGACGAGAGUCUGAACCAGCCAAGUAGCGUGAAGGAUGACUGCCCUAUGGGUUGUAAACUUCUUUUAUAAAGGAAUAAAACGAGGCACGUGUGCCUUUUUGCAUGUACUUUAUGAAUAAGGAUCGGCUAACUCCGUGCCAGCAGCCGCGGUAAUACGGAGGAUCCGAGCGUUAUCCGGAUUUAUUGGGUUGAAAGGGAGCGUAGAUGGGUUGUUAAGUCAGUUGUGAAAGUUUGCGGCUCAACCGUAAAAUUGCAAUUGAUACUGGCAGUCGUGAGUACAGUUGAGGUAGGCGGAAUUCGUGGUGUAGCGGUGAAAUGCUUAGAUAUCACGAAGAACCCCGAUUGCGAAGGCAGCUUACUAAACUGUGACUGACAUUGAUGCUCGAAAGUGUGGGUAUCAAACAGGAUUAGAUACCCGUGUAGUC
rnacentral:rRNA from 1 species